UAGGGAAUCUUCCACAAUGGACGAAAGUCUGAUGGAGCAACGCCGCGUGAGUGAAGAAGGGUUUCGGCUCGUAAAGCUCUGUUGGUAGUGAAAGAAAGAUAGAGGUAGUAACUGGCCUUUAUUUGACGGUAAUUACUUAGAAAGUCACGGCUAACUACGUGCC
rnacentral:rRNA from 1 species